UACGGAGGAGGCGAGCGUUGUUCGGAAUCACUGGGCUUAAAGCGCGUGUAGGCGGAUUGGCAGGUGUCUUGUGAAAGCCCUCGGCUCAACCGAGGAAUUGCAGGGCAAACCGCCAGUCUUGAGGCAGGUAGAGGCAAGCGGAACUAUGGGUGGAGCGGUGAAAUGCGUAGAUAUCCAUGGGAACGCCGGUGGCGAGAGCGGCUUGCUGGGCCUGUCCUGACGCUGAGACGCGAAAGCGUGGGGAGCAAACAGGAUUAGAUACCCUGGUAGUCCACGCCGUAAACGAUGCGCACUAGGUACGAGGACGCUGACGGAUCUCGUGCCGAAGUAAAAAUGUUAAGUGCGCCGCCUGGGGAGUACGGCCGCAAGGCUAAA
rnacentral:rRNA from 1 species